rnacentral:rRNA from 1 species
UACAGAGGUCCCAAGCAUUGUUCGGAUUCACUGGGCGUAAAGGGUGCGUAGGUGGUGAGGUAAGUCGGAUGUGAAAUCUCCAAGCUCAACUUGGAAACUGCAUUGGAAACUACCUUGCUAGAGGAUUUGAGGGGGGAUUGGAAUACUUGGUGUAGCAGUGAAAUGCGUAGAUAUCAAGUGGAACACCAGUGGCGAAGGCGAAUCCCUGGAAAAUACCUGACACUGAGGCACGAAAGCUAGGGGAGCAAACAGG